rnacentral:rRNA from 1 species
CACAAGCGGUGGAGCAUGUUGGUUUAAUUCGAAGCAACGACGAAGAACCUUUACCAGGUCUUGACACUCCCGAUGCUUAUUUCUAGAGAUAGAAAGUUACUUCGGUACAUCGGUGACAGGUGGUGCAUGGUUGUCGUCAGCUCGUGUCGUGAGAUGUUGGGUUAAGUCCCGCAACGAGCGCAACCCCUAUUGUUAGUUGCCAUCAUUCAGUUGGGCACUCUAGCGAGACUGCCGGUAAUAAACCGGAGGAAGGUGAGGAUGACGUCAAAUCAUCAUGCCCCUUAUGACCUGGGCUACACACGUGCUACAAUGGUUGGUACAACGAGUUGCGAGUCGGUGACGGCGAGCUAAUCUCUUAAAGCCAAUCUCAGUUCGGAUUGUAGGCUGCAACUCGCCUACACGAAGUCGGAAUCGCUAGUAAUCGCGGAUCAGCACGCCGCGGUGAAUACGUUCCCGGGCCUU